AGUGAACGCUGGCGGUAGGCCUAACACAUGCAAGUCGAACGGCAGCACAGUAAGAGCUUGCUCUUACGGGUGGCGAGUGGCGGACGGGUGAGGAAUACAUCGGAAUCUACUUUUUCGUGGGGGAUAACGUAGGGAAACUUACGCUAAUACCGCAUACGACCUACGUGUGAAAGCAGGGGAUCUUCGUACCUUGCGCGAUUGAAUGAGCCGAUGUCGGAUUAGCUAGUUGGCGGGGUAAAGGCCCACCAAGGCGACGAUCCGUAGCUGGUCUGAGAGGAUGAUCAGCCACACUGGAACUGAGACACGGUCCAGACUCCUACGGGAGGCAGCAGUGGGGAAUAUUGGACAAUGGGCGCAAGCCUGAUCCAGCCAUACCGCGUGGGUGAAGAAGGCCUUCGGGUUGUAAAGCCCUUUUGUUGGGAAAGAAAAGCAGCAGGUUAAUACCCCGCUGUUCUGACGGUACCCAAAGAAUAAGCACCGGCUAACUUCGUG
rnacentral:rRNA from 1 species